rnacentral:rRNA from 1 species
CGCUGGCGGCGUGCCUAAUACAUGCAAAGUCGAGCGGACCGAAGGGAGCUUGCUCCUUUAGGUUAGCGGGCGGACGGGGGGAGUAACACGUGGGCAACCUGCCCUGCAGACUGGGAUAAAUUCGGGAAACCGGAGGUAAUUCCGGAUAACCCCGAAAACCGCAUGGUUUUCGGUUGAAAGGCGGCUUUUAGCUGUCACUGCAGGAUGGGCCCGCGGCGCAUUAGCUAGUUGGUGAGGUAACGGCUCACCAAGGCGACGAUGCGUAGCCGACCUGAGAGGGUGACCGGCCACACUGGGACUGAGACACGGCCCAGACUCUUACGGGAGGCAGCAGUAGGGAAUCUUCCGCAAUGGACGAAAGUCUGACGGAGCAACGCCGCGUGAGCGAAGAAGGUCUUCGGAUCGUAAAGCUCUGUUGUCAGGGAAGAACAAGUACCGUUCGAACAGGGCGGUACCUUGACGGUACCUGACGAGGAAGCCACGGCUAACUACGUGCCAGCAGCCGCGGUAAUACGUAGGUGGCAAGCGUUGUCCGGAAUUAUUGGGCGUAAAGCGCGCGCAGGCGGUUCCUUAAGUUUGAUGUGAAAUCUCGCGGCUCAACCGCGAGCGGCCAUUGGAAACUGGGGAACUUGAGUGCAGGAGAGGGGAGCGGAAUUCCACGUGUAGCGGUGAAAUGCGUAGAGAUGUGGAGGAACACCAGUGGCGAAGGCGGCUCUCUGGCCUGUAACUGACGCUGAG